AGCGUGCCUAACACAUGCAAGUCGAACGAUGAAGCCCUUCGGGGUGGAUUAGUGGCGAACGGGUGAGUAACACGUGGGCAAUCUGCCCUUCACUCUGGGACAAGCCCUGGAAACGGGGUCUAAUACCGGAUAACACUCUGUCCCGCAUGGGACGGGGUUAAAAGCUCCGGCGGUGAAGGAUGAGCCCGCGGCCUAUCAGCUUGUUGGUGGGGUGAUGGCCUACCAAGGCGACGACGGGUAGCCGGCCUGAGAGGGCGACCGGCCACACUGGGACUGAGACACGGCCCAGACUCCUACGGGAGGCAGCAGUGGGGAAUAUUGCACAAUGGGCGAAAGCCUGAUGCAGCGACGCCGCGUGAGGGAUGACGNCUUCGG
rnacentral:rRNA from 1 species